GUACGUUAUCUCUUUAAAAUUAUGGGUUAAGAUGAAUGUUUCAUUAGGCUUUGUCCAUCACACAUGUCUGAACCCAAGUUAAAUGAAAGAAAAAGACACAUAGAGCUUUUUACCAGGAGGCGACGGAGUAGCUGUAACCGGAAGCGAUGGAGAGGGAGUUGUCACCAAGGGUUCAUUGUAAAAAGGACAGUUUAAGCAACCUUCAGGUGAAAGAUCAGGAAUACACUGGACAAAUGCAUAAAGCGUCUGAGACAAAGUAAAUCUCGAUUUGUUAACCGCAAAUCUCUUUUCCUUGCUAUCAGCCGCUUCCACUGAAGACUUGUUCAUCAGAGAAAACAUUGCAUCCUUGAACCGGUCUGGUCGGUAAAUGUCUGGAACACUCUGAUUGUUCCAAGUGAUUAUUGUAGGGGUAGACCAUGUUCUUACACCAUCCAUGAAAAUAUUCCGGUCUGAGUAUCCAAGCAUGCACUCA